GCUACAGGCUUAACACAUGCAAGUCGAGGGGCAUCAGGAAGAAAGCUUGCUUUCUUUGCUGGCGACCGGCGCACGGGUGAGUAACACGUAUCCAACCUGCCCUUUACUCGGGGAUAGCCUUUCGAAAGAAAGAUUAAUACCCGAUAGCAUAAUGAUUCCGCAUGGUUUCAUUAUUAAAGGAUUCCGGUAGAGGAUGGGGAUGCGUUCCAUUAGGUUGUUGGUGAGGUAACGGCUCACCAAGCCUUCGAUGGAUAGGGGUUCUGAGAGGAAGGUCCCCCACAUUGGAACUGAGACACGGUCCAAACUCCUACGGGAGGCAGCAGUGAGGAAUAUUGGUCAAUGGGCGCUAGCCUGAACCAGCCAAGUAGCGUGAAGGAUGAAGGCUCUAUGGGUCGUAAACUUCUUUUAUAUAAGAAUAAAGUGCAGUAUGUAUACUGUUUUGUAUGUAUUAUAUGAAUAAGGAUCGGCUAACUCCGUGCCAGCAGCCGCGGUAAUACGGAGGAUCCGAGCGUUAUCCGGAUUUAUUGGGUUUAAAGGGAGCGUAGGUGGACUGGUAAGUCAGUUGUGAAAGUUUGCGGCUCAACCGUAAAAUUGCAGUUGAUACUGUCAGUCUUGAGUACAGUAGAGGUGGGCGGAAUUCGUGGUGUAGCGGUGAAAUGCUUAGAUAUCACGAAGAACUCCGAUUGCGAAGGCAGCUCACUGGACUGCAACUGACACUGAUGCUCGAAAGUGUGGGUAUCAAACAGGAUUAGAUACCCUGGUAGUCCACACAGUAAACGAUGAAUACUCGCUGUUUGCGAUAUACAGUAAGCGGCCAAGCGAAAGCAUUAAGUAUUCCACCUGGGGAGUACGCCGGCAACGGUGAAACUCAAAGGAAUUGACGGGGGCCCGCACAAGCGGAGGAACAUGUGGUUUAAUUCGAUGAUACGCGAGGAACCUUACCCGGGCUUAAAUUGCAGUGGAAUGAUGUGGAAACAUGUCAGUGAGCAAUCACCGCUGUGAAGGUGCUGCAUGGUUGUCGUCAGCUCGUGCCGUGAGGUGUCGGCUUAAGUGCCAUAACGAGCGCAACCCUUAUCUUUAGUUACUAACAGGUUAUGCUGAGGACUCUAGAGAGACUGCCGUCGUAAGAUGUGAGGAAGGUGGGGAUGACGUCAAAUCAGCACGGCCCUUACGUCCGGGGCUACACACGUGUUACAAUGGGGGGUACAGAAGGCAGCUAGCGGGUGACCGUAUGCUAAUCCCAAAAUCCUCUCUCAGUUCGGAUCGAAGUCUGCAACCCGACUUCGUGAAGCUGGAUUCGCUAGUAAUCGCGCAUCAGCCACGGCGCGGUGAAUACGUUCCCGGGCCUUGUACACACCGCCCGUCAAGCCAUGGGAGCCGGGGGUACCUGAAGUACGUAACCGCAAGGAUCGUCCUAGGGUAAAACUGGUGACUGGGGCU
rnacentral:rRNA from 1 species